UACGGGGGGGGGCAAGCGUUGUUCGGAAUUACUGGGCGUAAAGGGCGCGUAGGCGGAUUGUUAAGUCAGAGGUGAAAGCCCAGGGCUCAACCCUGGAAUUGCCUUUGAUACUGGCAAUCUUGAGGCCGGAAGAGGUUAGUGGAACUGCGAGUGUAGAGGUGAAAAUUCGUAGAUAUUCGCAAGAAACACCAGUGGCGAAGGCGGCUGACUGGUCCGGUUCUGACGCUGAGGGCGCGA
rnacentral:rRNA from 1 species